rnacentral:rRNA from 1 species
AUUGAACGCUGGCGGCAUGCCUAACACAUGCAAGUCGAACGGCAGCACGGUUAAGUACUUGUACUUAAUGGGUGGCGAGUGGCGAACGGGUGAGUAAUGCGCAGGAAUAUGCCCUAAAGAGGGGGAUAACUUGGGGAAACUCAAGCUAAUACCGCAUAAGCUCUGAGGAGUAAAGCUGGGGACCUUGGGGCAUGGCGCUGUAAGAAUAGCCUGCGUCCGAUUAGCUAGUUGGUAGGGUAAAGGCCUACCAAGGCGACGAUCGGUAGCUGGUCUGAGAUGAUGAACAGCCACACUGGGACUGAGACACGGCCCAGACUCCUACGGGAGGCAGCAGUGGGGAAUAUUGGACAAUGGGGGCAACCCUGAUCCAGCAAUGCCGCGUGUGUGAAGAAGGCCUGAGGGUUGUAAAGCACUUUCAGUGGGGAGGAGGAUUGAUUGGUUAAGAGCUGAUUAAUUGGACGUUACCUACAGAAGAAGCACCGGCUAACUCCGUGCCAGCCGCCGCAGUAA